AGACAGACGCAGGUGUAUUUCUCCUCCAGGGGAUCAGAGACGCAUUCAGAUCCUUCAGGGCACGGACUGUCUUCACACCCAUGGUGGACAACGGGGCAUUUUCCCUCUUUGUUUAAAUUAAAAAAAAAAAGGGGGAUGGGGGAGCGCUAAUUAAUAGGAAUUUCAAGAAAACAAUGUUUAAUGUGUAGCCUCCAUUGGCUGUAUGUGAAAAGAACCCACCCUGCCUUUUUCCCUAUGUGUAUGUGUGUUACCUUUGCAGAGACACAUGGCGGUUCUUCGGUGGCGUGGAGUGACAAAACUCAGUCUGGCCGUGCUAUGCGUGGACAUCACGUUCUCGUCCACAGACACCUUCUCGUCACAGAACUUCCAAGGGCAAUCCAGGCCUGCGCAGAGCUUCUGGAAAACGUCCAAUAUCCUCACGCCAAUGAUCUCCUCGAGGUCAGUCACGGAAGCGUGAGGUUGGCAAAGCGGACGGCCACAGUCUGGUUCAGCAUCUCCUGCGUCACCUGGCGGACGUGCACCGUGAUGUCGGCCGCUGUGGUAAACCUGCCGUCCGUCACGCUGACGUUGAGGAGGUACUGCCCUAUAUCCAGCUUCUUGUGGGCGAUCAGCUUCCCCCCCGUGCUGGAAACAGAGAAGAGGGUGUCCAUUGGGGAUCGAGGCUGUAGGUUAACGUGUCAUACACGUCUUGGUCUGUCGCGUGGAUCUUCCCGAUGACACCGCCCGCGUACUCCUCUCCGACGGCGGUGAUGAAGACCUCCAGCGGCAGAAUCGCAGGGGGGUAGACGCUCUCCUCGAUGACCCUAAUGUCGAUAUAUGUGAGUGAUGACAGCGGGGGCUUCCCAUUAUCCGCCACCUACGAGAAAAGGGGAAUCAAAUCACCGUUGUCUGUGUCGUGCUUUACAACUUCUUUUUUUAAAAGCAUGUCAUUUUAUUUUUUUCUUUUUCAGGCUACACCUGCGGCAUAUGGAAGUUCCCAGACGGGGUCCAAUCGGAGCUGCAGCUGCCAGACUACACCACGGUCACAACAACACAGAUACAACC
rnacentral:lncRNA from 9 species